GAUGAACGCUAGCGGCAGGCCUAACACAUGCAAGUCGAGGGGCAUCGCGGUGCAGCAAUGCACUGGCGGCGACCGGCGUACGGGUGCGUAACGCGUAUGCAACCUGCCCCGCACCGGGGGAUAGCCCGCCGAAAGGCGGAUUAAUACCCCAUGGCCCCGGGGGCCCGCAUGGGCAUCCGGGUAAAGCCUUGGCGGUGCGGGAUGGGCAUGCGUGCCAUUAGCUGGCUGGUGGGGUAACGGCCCACCAGGGCAACGAUGGCUAGGGGGUCUGAGAGGAUGGUCCCCCACACUGGUACUGAGACACGGACCAGACUCCUACGGGAGGCAGCAGUGAGGAAUAUUGGUCAAUGGGCGGAAGCCUGAACCAGCCAUGCCGCGUGCGGGAUGAAGGCCCUACGGGUUGUAAACCGCUUUUCCCCGGGAAGAAUAACCCCGAUGAGUCGGGGGAUGCCGGUACCGGGGGAAUAAGGAUCGGCUAACUCCGUG
rnacentral:rRNA from 1 species